rnacentral:rRNA from 1 species
ACAGCAGCAGCCACGGUAAUACGAAGGGGGCUAGCGUUGUUCGGAUUUACUGGGCGUAAAGCGCACGUAGGCGGAUCGAUCAGUCAGGGGUGAAAUCCCAGAGCUCAACUCUGGAACUGCCUUUGAUACUGUCGAUCUGGAGUAUGGAAGAGGUGAGUGGAAUUCCGAGUGUAGAGGUGAAAUUCGUAGAUAUUCGGAGGAACACCAGUGGCGAAGGCGGCUCACUGGUCCAUUACUGACGCUGAGGUGCGAAAGCGUGGGGAGCAAACAGGAUUAGAUACCCCCGUAGUCCCUGUCUCUUAUAC